rnacentral:tRNA from 1 species
GGGCCCGUAGCCUAGCCUGGAUAGGGCGCCGGCCUCCGGAGCCGGAGAUCCCGGGUUCAAAUCCCGGCGGGCCCGCCA